AAACCAUCGCAAGCUUUUUGCUGUUUUGCUUGCUGAUUGCCAACCGAAGGAGAACGGCCGCCAGGAAGGCAAAUGGUUG
rnacentral:ncRNA from 18 species